rnacentral:rRNA from 1 species
UGCAAGUCGAACGAGAGAUGAGGAGCUUGCUCUUCAAAUCGAGUGGCGAACGGGUGAGUAACGCGUGAGGAACCUGCCUCAAAGAGGGGGACAACAGUUGGAAACGACCGCUAAUACCGCAUAAGCCCACGGCUCGGCAUCGAGCAGAGGGAAAAGGAGCAAUCCGCUUUGAGAUGGCCUCGCGUCCGAUUAGCUAGUUGGUGAGGUAACGGCCCACCAAGGCGACGAUCGGUAGCCGGACUGAGAGGUUGAACGGCCACAUUGGGACUGAGACACGGCCCAGACUCCUACGGGAGGCAGCAGUGGGGAAUAUUGCACAAUGGGGGAAACCCUGAUGCAGCGACGCCGCGUGGAGGAAGAAGGUCUUCGGAUUGUAAACUCCUGUUGUUGAGGAAGAUAAUGACGGUACUCAACAAGGAAGUGACGGCUAACUACGUGCCAGCAGCCGCGGUAAAACGUAGGUCACAAGCGUUGUCCGGAAUUACUGGGUGUAAAGGGAGCGCAGGCGGGAGAACAAGUUGGAAGUGAAAUCCAUGGGCUCAACCCAUGAA